rnacentral:rRNA from 1 species
AUUGAACGCUGGCGGCAUGCUUUACACAUGCAGGUCGAACGGUAACAGGGAGCUUGCUCCGCUGACGAGUGGCGAACGGGUGAGUAAUAUAUCGGAACGUACCCAAGAGUGGGGGAUAACGUAGCGAAAGUUACGCUAAUACCGCAUACGAUCUAAGGAUGAAAGCAGGGGACCUUCGGGCCUUGUGCUCCUGGAGCGGCCGAUAUCUGAUUAGCUAGUUGGUGAGGUAAAGGCUCACCAAGGCGACGAUCAGUAGCUGGUCUGAGAGGACGACCAGCCACACUGGAACUGAGACACGGUCCAGACUCCUACGGGAGGCAGCAGUGGGGAAUUUUGGACAAUGGGCGCAAGCCUGAUCCAGCAAUGCCGCGUGAGUGAAGAAGGCCUUCGGGUUGUAAAGCUCUUUUGUCAGGGAAGAAACGGGAUUGGCUAAUAUCCAGUCCUAAUGACGGUACCUGAAGAAUAAGCACCGGCUAACUACGUG